UUGAGCCUAGUUACUCUGUGAUUGAACAAUGUUUGUCAAAUAAAAACAAAAAUACUACAAUAGCUAAAAACAAAAAAUUUUACCAACUAAACAAGGUCUGACAAGUUGGGAGAAAGCGAAGUCAGUCUAAACCAAACGGAGAUUAGAUUUGCAUGGGUUCGAUCUCUGCAGCUUUCCUUUGUCUGCCGACUGAAUAAACACGGGCAGGUAGUCGUUUGUCGCCGCGAUCUUGCCACUGCAGUUUUCUUACACUAAUAAUAACAUAAUACAAUUAAUUGCAUCCAUAGUGUAUCUACUCUACAUUUCUUUUCAUCAAUAGGACACUCCUAAUAACCGAGAAACUGCAUGGUUUGUAUAUUCGUUAAUUAGGGAUGACGUGACGCUACACAAUUAAAGAAGAGAGGACAAAAUGGUUUCUUAGAUAAAAAAAACAUAUUCAAUACAGAUAUGGAGGGAGU
rnacentral:lncRNA from 1 species